rnacentral:rRNA from 1 species
UACAGAGGUCCCAAGCGUUGUUCGGAUUCACUGGGCGUAAAGGGUGCGUAGGUGGUGAGGUAAGUCGGAUGUGAAAUCUCCAAGCUCAAUUUGGAAACUGCAUUGGAAACUACCUUGCUAGAGGAUUUGAGGGGGGAUUGGAAUACUUGGUGUAGCAGUGAAAUGCGUAGAUAUCAAGUGGAACACCAGUGGCGAAGGCGAAUCCCUGGAAAAUACCUGACACUGAGGCACGAAAGCUAGGGGAGCAAACAGG